ensembl:snRNA U6 U6 spliceosomal RNA
GUGCUUGUCUUGGCAACAUAAGUAUACUAAAAUUGGGACAAUACAGAGAAGAUUAGCAUGGCCCCUGCACAAGGAUGACACACAAAUUCAUAACGUGUUCCAUAUUUUU